AUUGAACGCUGGCGGCAGGCCUAACACAUGCAAGUCGAGCGGAUGAAGGGAGCUUGCUCCUGGAUUCAGCGGCGGACGGGUGAGUAAUGCCUAGGAAUCUGCCUGGUAGUGGGGGAUAACGUCCGGAAACGGGCGCGAAUACCGCAUACGUCCAGAGGGAGAAAGGGGGGGAUCUUCGGACCUCACGCGAUCAGAUGAGCCUAGGUCGGAUUAGCUAGUUGGUGGGGUAAAGGCCUACCAAGGCGACGAUCCGUAACUGGUCUGAGAGGAUGAUCAGUCACACUGGAACUGAGACACGGUCCAGACUCCUACGGGAGGCAGCAGUGGGGAAUCUUGGACAAUGGGCGAAAGCCUGAUCCAGCCAUGCCGCGUGUGUGAAGAAGGUCUUCGGAUUGUAAAGCACUUUAAGUUGGGAGGAAGGGCAGUAAGUUAAUCCCUUGCUGUUUUGACGUUACCAACAGAAUAAGCACCGGCUAACUUCGUG
rnacentral:rRNA from 1 species